UACGUAGGGGGCAAGCGUUGUCCGGAUUUAUUGGGCGUAAAGAGCGUGUAGGCGGCCAUGUAGGUCCGUUGUGAAAACUCGGGGCUCAACCUCGAGACGCCGAUGGAAACCAUGUGGCUAGAGUCCGGAAGAGGAGAGUGGAAUUCCUGGUGUAGCGGUGAAAUGCGCAGAUAUCAGGAAGAACACCCGUGGCUAAGGCGGCUCUCUAGUACGGUACUGACGCUGAGACGCGAAAGCGUGGGGAGCGAACAGG
rnacentral:rRNA from 1 species